rnacentral:rRNA from 1 species
UACGUAUGUCUCGAGCGUUACCCGGAAUUACUGGGUGUAAAGCGUCCGCAGGCGGCAUAAUAAGUUGAAUAUGAAAGACCGAGGCUCAACCUCGAGUUUGUAUUCAAAACUGUUAAGCUAGAAUCAGGGAGAGGUAAGCAGAAUUCUGAGUGUAGGGGUGCAAUCCGUAGAUACUCAGAGGAAUACCAAAAGCGAAGGCAGCUUACUGGAACUCGAUUGACGCUCAUGGACGAAAGCGUGGGGAGCGAAAAGG